AGUGAACGCUGGCGGUAGGCCUAACACAUGCAAGUCGAACGGCAGCACAGUAAGAGCUUGCUCUUACGGGUGGCGAGUGGCGGACGGGUGAGGAAUACAUCGGAAUCUACUUUUUCGUGGGGGAUAACGUAGGGAAACUUACGCUAAUACCGCAUACGACCUACGGGUGAAAGCAGGGGAUCUUCGGACCUUGCGCGAUUGAAUGAGCCGAUGUCGGAUUAGCUAGUUGGCGGGGUAAAGGCCCACCAAGGCGACGAUCCGUAGCUGGUCUGAGAGGAUGAUCAGCCACACUGGAACUGAGACACGGUCCAGACUCCUACGGGAGGCAGCAGUGGGUGAUAUUGGACAAUGGGCGCAGUCCUGAUCCAGCCAUACCGCGUGGGUGAAGAAGGCGUUCGGGUUGUAAAGCCCUUUUGUUGGGAAAGAAAAGCAGCAGGUUAAUACCCCGCUGUUCUGACGGUACCCAAAGAAUAAGCACCGGCUAACUUCGUG
rnacentral:rRNA from 1 species